rnacentral:pre_miRNA from 1 species
GGUAUAUUCCCUCCGUCCCAAAAUGCUUGUCUUACAUUUGUUUAGAUACAGAUGUAUCUAACACUAAAAUGUAACUAGAUACAUCCGUAUUUAGACAAAUUUAAGACAAGAAUUUUGGGACGAAGGGAGUACAAA